UACGUAGGGUGCGAGCGUUAAUCGGAAUUACUGGGCGUAAAGCGUGCGCAGGCGGUUUUGUAAGACAGGCGUGAAAUCCCCGGGCUCAACCUGGGAAUGGCGCUUGUGACUGGCAAAGCUGGAGUGCGGCAGAGGGGGAUGGAAUUCCGCGUGUAGCGGUGAAAUGCGUAGAUAUGCGGAGGAACACCGAUGGCGAAGGCAAUCCCCUGGACCUGUACUGACGCUCAUGCACGAA
rnacentral:rRNA from 1 species